rnacentral:rRNA from 1 species
CCUACGGGUGGCAGCAGUAGGGAAUAUUGCUCAAUGGGGGAAACCCUGAAGCAGCAACGCCGCGUGGAGGAUGAAGGUUUUCGGAUGGUAAACUCCUUUUGUUAGAGAAGAUAAUGACGGUAUCUAACUAAUCAUCACCGGCUAACUCCGUUCCAGCAGCCGCGGUAAUACGGAGGGUGCAAGCGUUCGUCGGAAUCACUGGGCGUAACGAGCGCGGAGGCGGGAUCGCAAGUAAGAUGUGAAAGCCUAUGGCUUAACCAUAGAACUGCAUUUGAAACUGGUAUUCUAGAGUAUGGAAGAGGGAGGUGGAAUUCUUGGUGUAGGGGUAAAAUCCGUAGAGAUCAAGAGGAAUACGCAUUGCGAAGGCGACCUGCUAGAACAUAACUGACGCUGAUGCGCGAAAGCGUGGGGAGCAAACAGGAUUAGAUACCCGGGUAGUC